ACAUUGAGAAGGCUACCUGCAGUCGAGCGGAGAUGAGGUGCUUGCACCUUAUCUUAGCGGCGGACGGGUGAGUAAUGCUUAGGAAUCUGCCAUUUAGUGGGGGACAACAUCUCGAAAGGGAUGCUAAUACCGCAUACGUCCUACGGGAGAAAGCAGGGGAUCUUCGGACCUUGCGCUAAAUGAUGAGCCUAAGUCGGAUUAGCUAGUUGGUGGGGUAAAGGCCUACCAAGGCGACGAUCUGUAGCGGGUCUGAGAGGAUGAUCCGCCACACUGGGACUGAGACACGGCCCAGACUCCUACGGGAGGCAGCAGUGGGGAAUAUUGGACAAUGGGCGGAAGCCUGAUCCAGCCAUGCCGCGUGUGUGAAGAAGGCCUUUUGGUUGUAAAGCACUUUAAGCGAGGAGGAGGCUACUUAGAUUAAUACUCUAGGAUAGUGGACGUUACUCGCAGAAUAAGCACCGGCUAACUCUGUGCCAGCAGCCGCGGUAAUACAGAGGGUGCGAGCGUUAAUCGGAUUUACUGGGCGUAAAGCGUGCGUAGGCGGCUGAUUAAGUCGGAUGUGAAAUCCCUGAGCUUAACUUAGGAAUUGCAUUCGAUACUGGUCAGCUAGAGUAUGGGAGAGGAUGGUAGAAUUCCAGGUGUAGCGGUGAAAUGCGUAGAGAUCUGGAGGAAUACCGAUGGCGAAGGCAGCCAUCUGGCCUAAUACUGACGCUGAGGUACGAAAGCAUGGGGAGCAAACAGGAUUAGAUACCCUGGUAGUCCAUGCCGUAAACGAUGUCUACUAGCCGUUGGGGCCUUUGAGGCUUUAGUGGCGCAGCUAACGCGAUAAGUAGACCGCCUGGGGAGUACGGUCGCAAGACUAAAACUCAAAUGAAUUGACGGGGGCCCGCACAAGCGGUGGAGCAUGUGGUUUAAUUCGAUGCAACGCGAAGAACCUUACCUGGCCUUGACAUAGUAAGAACUUUCCAGAGAUGGAUUGGUGCCUUCGGGAACUUACAUACAGGUGCUGCAUGGCUGUCGUCAGCUCGUGUCGUGAGAUGUUGGGUUAAGUCCCGCAACGAGCGCAACCCUUUUCCUUAUUUGCCAGCGAGUAAUGUCGGGAACUUUAAGGAUACUGCCAGUGACAAACUGGAAGGAAGGCGGGGACGACGUCAAGUCAUCAUGGCCCUUACGGCCAGGGCUACCAACGUGCUACAAUGGUCGGGACAAAGGGUUGCUACCUAACGAAAAGGAUGCUAAUUCCAAAAAGCCGAACGGAAUCCCGGAUUGGGAGCUCGCAUCUCCGACCUCUCGAAUAGCCGGAACCCCUCAAAUACCGCGCAGACAAUAAAGCCCUG
rnacentral:rRNA from 1 species